rnacentral:rRNA from 1 species
UACGUAGGGUGCAAGCGUUAAUCGGAAUUACUGGGCGUAAAGCGUGCGCAGGCGGUUUUGUAAGACUGUCGUGAAAUCCCCGGGCUUAACCUGGGAAUGGCGAUGGAGACUGCAAGGCUAGAGUUUGGCAGAGGGGGGUAGAAUUCCACGUGUAGCAGUGAAAUGCGUAGAGAUGUGGAGGAACACCGAUGGCGAAGGCAGCCCCCUGGGUCAAAACUGACGCUCAUGCACGAAAGCGUGGGGAGCAAACAGG